rnacentral:tRNA from 1 species
GCCUCUGUAGCUCAGUUGGUUAGAGCACUGCACCGGAAUCGCAGGGCCGCAGGUUCAGUUCCUGCCAGGGACC